rnacentral:rRNA from 1 species
CCUUUGUACACACCGCCCGUCGCUACUACCGAUUGAAUGGCUCAGUGAGGCCUUCGGACUGGCUCCAGGAGGGGGGCAACUCCCACCCAGAGCCGGGAAGUUGGUCAAACUUGGUCAUUUAGAGG